rnacentral:misc_RNA from 1 species
GAAUCCAGGAGAAAUGGUUGUGAUGAAAAGAAAUAAACAAAGGAAUUCUCAUUGCAAAACAACUGUAAAAGACGAUCUUCGCAGAAAAGCACCAGCAGAAAGUAUGCUACACUGUAAAUUAUAACAGAGCUGUCCCGUUUAAAAGACCAGGAACCAGCUCUGUUCAAUCCAGUUGCAAAUUCUCUCUUGAAACUAAUGACAGCUACCCAUACUCAACUCACUGUACAAGGCAAUCCAAAGACACUAGCAAGAGUAUCAGUAGAACAACUAUCACUCCAGAAAAACAAUAAUAAUAAUAGGCACUGUAACAAAGGCAGCAGCAGACUAGUAGUGCACACUAUUGCAGUUGCUGUAUAUGCCAUCGGCAGCGAUUUUUGCAAACUUUGCAACGUGUCCAUUUUGGUAAACAUUUACUUU